rnacentral:rRNA from 1 species
CACUCCUGCGGGAGGCAGCAGUGGGGAAUUUUGGACAAUGGGCGAAAGCCUGAUCCAGCCAUGCCGCGUGCAGGAUGAAGGCCUUCGGGUUGUAAACUGCUUUUGUACGGAACGAAACGGCCUUUUCUAAUAAAGAGGGCUAAUGACGGUACCGUAAGAAUAAGCACCGGCUAACUACGUGCCAGCAGCCGCGGUAAUACGUAGGGUGCAAGCGUUAAUCGGAAUUACUGGGCGUAAAGCGUGCGCAGGCGGUUAUGUAAGACAGUUGUGAAAUCCCCGGGCUCAACCUGGGAACUGCAUCUGUGACUGCAUAGCUAGAGUACGGUAGAGGAGGAUGGAAUUCCGCGUGUAGCAGUGAAAUGCGUAGAUAUGCGGAGGAACACCGAUGGCGAAGGCAAUCCCCUGGACCUGUACUGACGCUCAUGCACGAAAGCGUGGGGAGCAAACAGGAUUAGAAACCCGAGUAGUCCCAUGA